UGUCCAUUCUCUGUUGUCUAUAUACCCACUGUGGCCUGGUCAAACUCCUAGUGGCCAGCCCUACAAAGGAAACUGAGACUUUCUCCUUCACCCCCUUUAGAAGUCAUCACCUGUAGAGAGCUGUACCGCAGUAUCCCCAACACUUUUUUUUCAGUUCUCCUUGAUGGCUUCCUCUUUAGGCUGUCGCUUUUUUGGGGAAUGGGGUGGAGGUUGGAGUUUUCACAGGAGCCUUUUACAUUCCUCUUUCUCAACUGUGCUUCAGCAAUCAUUAAUAACAUUGCAAAAGUAGCUUCCUUGCCAUUCACAGUCAUCAGGAGCACCGGUCGAUCCUAGGCUUCCGCAUGGUUUCUAAAAAGAUCAUGGACUGUAAACAUCCACUUGGUCUCCAGCAUCCUCCUGUGCCAAGGACCACUGCUUCCGGUGGCAGUAUGGCCUGUGCCUAUCAAGACAGUGCUCUGACAAAGCAUGGGCCCCUGACCAGCAUGGCCUCCGGGAGAAGCAUAGACCAUGGAGGUCUUUUGAGGAAGUCCAAUCCAGUAAGUGGACCAUUCUUCCUCUUGGACAUCCUGUCGCUGUUCAGAGACUGUGUGACUGGGCGGCUUGUUUGGGGGUUGAGUCUGCACCAGCUCCAGGCUGUUGCAUACCAUGUUGGGGUGGUUGGGUUCACAUACUUGCUCCUCUAUCAACUCCAGCUGGCAGCUGUUUUGUACUCAGAGUCUUUGUAGCUUUUCACCACUGAGAGUCUUCUCUGCAGGUUAGCUUUACUUCCUCAGAGAGGAACUCUCAGCUUUGCUUAUUCUGCCAGAGAGGGCCCUAGUGAAUCUGGUCUGUUUCAGGGACUUCCUGAAGCUAUUUAUUUUGAGUUGUUUACCUUUCUCCUUAAGGAGCUUCCCUGCAGGAUAGAAUGUUUCACAGCAGUUACCCAGGAUUCUGUGUCCCUGGGACCAAACGUUGUAGCUAAGCAACUUAAAAGGAGAUAAGGUCAGUCUGGGUCCAUGGCUUCUCAGGGUCCAUGGUUCUCAUGGGGAAGGUAUUUCACAACUCACACUGUCCUGGUAGAGGAAUAGAGGAAGAGGAUGGGGCAGGAUCUAGCCUUCCCCCAAUGACCUACUUCCCCAGUGACCUACUUCCCUCAGUGACCUACUUUCCCCAGUGACCUAACAACCCAGUGACCUACUUUCUCCAGCCAGGCUUUUAUCAUGGACCAAUGAUGCUGUUACAUUCUAAGUCCAUCAGGAUGAAUCCAUUCACAUCAGAGUGUCCAUGUUCCAUUGGAUCCUUGAGACAGUCUCACAGAAACCAGCAGAAGUACAGGUCCUUCUCAGGGCAAUCAAUGCAAUUAUCCACCACACCUAGGGUGUGCAGAAGGAUACAACUGUCAUGUGUUCUCUGGUCUUGGUUAAUUUGUCAUUUAGAACUUGAGCUCACGGGUGGAGAAGGACUCUCCCGACUCUAGGGCUCUCUAGGUGGUUAUCAGCACGUUCCUGGCAGCUCUCUCCUGGUCUUAUAUCUUCACCAGAAGAAUGGGUGUGAAGUGUGUUCUCAUGCAUGCAAGACCCAGCUGGGGAAGCAAAUGUCAGUGCGACUGUGUGUAGCUGGCAGGCGAGGACAUCAGUUGGAGAGGCCAGUUGAUAUGAGAGCCUUGCAGACUCUUGAUUCCGGUAGGUGUGGGCACCCCAGAGGACCACCGGCAUGUGGAAUACUGUUUUCACACCAGUCCGAAGACAUCAGUCACCACCUCCACUGUCUUAAGUUGCUCCCCCCCCAACCCCCCGGCAGAGGGAGUGUUGUGUUAUGUGUACAGAUGGGUGAAAGAGAACCUGGCAUGGGCCCACAGGCCAGGGGUUAAGUUUUAGUUUGCAAUCUUUUUUUUAAAGAUUUAUUUAUUUUUUUUAAUGCAUGAGUAUUUGCUGUCUUCAGACACACCAGAAAAGGGCAUCAGAUCCCAUUACAGAUGGUUGUGAGCCACCACGUGGUUGCUGGGAUUUGAACUCAGGACCUCUGGAAGAGCAGACAGUGCUCUUAACCGCUGAGCCAUCUCCCCAGCCCCUAGUUUGCAAUCUUGAUGUUGCAGCCUAGUGUCCGGAGUUACUGAUAGCCACUAUACUCCCAUAGUUAGCUCCAUUUGGUGGCAUGAUCCCGUGCCACGCGUGAAAGAGAUGCUGUUCAAUCCAUCGGGGAGAUGUCUACUGACAGGCUGGCCUCCUAGAACUGAAAAUCAGGAGGGCCCCAUUCAUGAAGUCAGGGGCUCCCUGGGGCAUCUAGUAGGCUCCGUGUAUGAGACAAGGAUGAAGAGCAUCCUUAAGGGACAAGGAUGGGGUUCAUGGGUUCCUCAUUGGUCUGGGACAUCUCAACCCAGUCAUUUCUGCAAGUGUCACGAGAAGAGGAGGGGACUUUAUAAAUGUGGGUCCGCCCCACCCCCUGCUUUUCAGGGUGUUCCUGUUUCUCUCGAGGUGCCUUGCACUCUGUUCAACCCUUCCCCUGUGCUAACCCAUCCCCUGUUUUGCCCCUAGGAGAUAAGGACCUCUAUGGACUCCUUUCUUUCGCGUUUGUGGCUACUGAGGCACAGAUAGGUUACCUGGUUGCCAUGGUAACUUGGUGGGCAGCAGUCGUCCUGGGUUGCCUUCUCCUGCUGUAAUAGACACCACAACCGAAAGCGGCCUGAGGAACAGUUUAUUUCAUCUUUCGGUUUACAGUCCAUCAUGGAGGAAGUCAGGACACAAGCUCAAAGAAGGAGCGGAAGCCUGGGCCAUGAGGGAUGCUGCUUACUGGCUUGCUUUCCCGGCAAGUUCUACCUGCUUUUCGUAUACAAGCCAGACCCAUCUGCCUUGGGUAGCGACGUCCACAGUGGGCGGCGCCCUCCCAUAUCAAUCAUUAACCAAGAAACUGCCCCCACAGACUUGUCUAUAGGUCAUUCUGGGGGAGGUAAUCCCUCAGCUGAGGCUCCCUCUUCUCAGGUGGGUUCUCAGGUUUGUUUCAUGUUGAGAAACACCAAUCAGAACAGUAGUUGACUGGCAUUUCACCCCUGGCACCUCGACCCGAGAUGUGUGCUCACCCUCCCUCCACCAACGCUGAUCUGAACUUUGCUAUCUGCUAAGGAUGAGAAAGUUGUCGUGCCCUGUUGUGACUGCCCUGUAUGCGUAUGACCUUGUACUGACCACCCCAGGCUCUCCCUCCCAGAAUUCCCUCCUCCUUUUGCAAAAACAUUCUGACGUUUUCAGACGCCAUCUUGCCUCACGAGCAUGCGCAGUCAAAAUGUGCUGUCUUUGCAUGGCAGACGCCAAAGGACUCCCAAAGACAUUUGAAUGGGAAAUGUCCCACAUAGAUUCAUAUAUAUUGGAACUUAUGGCCCCCCAGUCAGCGGCACUUUUGAGGGAGAUUAAAGGAAGUAUGGUGUUGGGAGCAGGCUUUGAAGGUAUAUAGCCCCACCUCUCUUUCUGUUAUCCCCUCCCCCCUCUCCCAGCCCCCUAGCUUCCCGACUGCCAGGCUGGCCUCAAGCUGCUCCUCCUGUGCUCCCUUGCUGUUACAGAAUCCCUCCCUCUGGAACCAUUAGCCAGGGGUCAACCCUUUCUUCCUUAAGUUGCUUUUGCUGCUGGUAUUUUAUCAGAACAAAACCAAAGUAACUAAUAUGUAUCACUUCCAGAACCUUCUCAUUCCAUUGCCGUCCAACAUGGGCAAAUUACCGGUGUGUUUGGAGAUGAAGUGUCCCCCAAAAGACCCUUGUUGAGGGCUUAGACCCCAGCAGGUCAGACUAAGCUGGGGGGAUCAGCUCUGCCCUGAGCCUGCCGUGAUUGAGCUAUGACCCGAUCAAUCGAUCAAUCGAUGGAUCACUGAUUUUGAACAGGCUUGCUGCACCAUAUCCUCCGAAGUACCCUGCCCCCAUGCUAUUCUGUUCUACCGUGGACCCUGCUGACCAGGAAACCGCAUCUCUGAAUCAAUGAGUCAAAGAAGACUUCCCUUCAUUCUUAAGUAGUUUUUCUUUGGGCAGCACAGUGAACACCGUCCGAAGACAGUGGUUCCUCCUGGAUGCUCCACAUGCGGACACUAGUAGCACUGGCUGUCCAAGUGUCUCUGCGGGAGUGCAUGGAGUCCUUUGGGUUUAUGCCCAGGAGGAGCCUCACUGGGUCAUACGGUCUUCGUUUUCGUUACUUGGCUAGUUUGUGCUUGUGGCACGAUUCUGGUCUUCCUCUAGGUUAAAGGCAGAUGUUGGAACAUAAACAGACAGAUGAGAUGCUUGUAUGCUCAAGAUGUGGACAGGUAGACCCCGGCAAAAGCCCAGGAAACUCUCCUCUCACAGAAAAGUUCUGUGCCCCUGGCUCCUGUUUUGGGAACCCCGUGUGGUUGACUUUCUGACUGUGCUCCAGAGAGAGCCAACACAGCAGUUUCAGAUACUUUCCCUUUACACUUUUGCGGGCCGUUCCGUGUUCAGCCGAGAGUUUAAGAUUAAUGGCCGCACGGAAGUUGCUAGGCCUGGGCACUCUGCUGAAAUACGCUGAAUUCGACUCUCUCCACACCCCCGUUCUGCUUAAAGAUGGCUAAACCUGGUAGUUGUCGUCAUCGACAGUCCCUAAGAUGACGUAGCAGCUCUGCCCUGAGCCUGAAAGGAGUUGAGGGUUGCAGGCCCAGUAAAUGUGUCUCGGUCAUCAAGCUAGCAUUUCCAAACAAAGGGACUGAAUAAGGAAAGCGUGAUGGGCGGUUGAAGGCUUGAUGUUCCCUGAGAAGAAAAGGAUGUCUUAAAGGCAGAGCCACAGAAUUUCACUCAAGUCGGAAAGGAGAGCCGUUGAAAAGAGCACGCUGAUUUAAAGGACUGUAUUCUUAGCACAGUCGAUUUUAUCUGCAGCAAAAUCCGAGACACAGCAUUUUCUGGAAAUAGGUCAAAUUCUGAGUGUUUUGUAUACAUGGCGUACUUCACUAGAGGGCGCCAUUGAGUUGUGUAUUUAACAUUUUCUUUCUUCCUUUCUUUCUUUCUUUCUUUCUUUUUUUUUUUUUUUUACAAAAAUAAUAAUAAAAAUGACGAUGGCCCGGGCUAUGAAUUCUGAUACAAUUCUUGUUGAACAUGUUUUGAGAAUUCCUCACAGACAUUAUUUUUUAUUUUUCGGCUUCUAUGUGUGAAAUUCCAUUUUAAGAAGUAUAACAUAACCCCGAAUCCGUCAGUACGUGGGAAGUCCCGCCGGCAUGCUGGCAUGACAGAGGCAAAAGACAUAAGUUUAAAUUAACUGCAAUCCCAUAGGUCUUUGGGCGGUUGUUUCUCUAUAUACCUUACCGCUCAAAGGAAAUAAAUUGUAAAUAUUAAUUCUAUCCGCUUGUCCGCUUAGAUCCUUUGUGAAGAGACAAAGAGAGACCGUGUGGUCUGGGGACAAGCCUCUGUCCCGUUUUCCAGGGACUUUUGUCAUCUGAAAUCACUUCCAGGACAGACUUUCAAUUUGCUUUUCAGAAGGCUGAGUCUGAAGCCCGUACUACCUACCACACAAUAACUCUCACCUUCCUCCCCCAACCGACCCCUUUGAUUAUUAUUCUGGCUUCUUUGCCUUUCUCUUUAGACUCAACUCAGACCAUGCUGUAUGAGACACCAUUUUAAAAUCUGUACCAAGCUGUACCACAUCAAAAAAGAAAAAAAAAAAGCAAAUUAUAAUCUCCCUACUGUCAGAAAGAGAAUGACUCAAAUCAAGUCAAUGACCUUUCUUUUUCUCCCUCCCUCCCUCCCCCUCUCUCUUCCUUCCUCCCUCUCUCCCUCCCCCCACCCCACUUUUUGAGGCAAGGUCUCUCUACAUAGCCCUGGCCCCUGGCUGUCCUGAACUGACUCUAGACCGUGCCUGCCUCUGCCUCCCAGUGAUGGGACUGAAGGCAUGUACCACCACACCUGGCAGUUUCUCUUAAUUUAACUUGUCUUACUGAGUUCCAUUCUAUUUAAUCUGUUACAGUUUAAAGCUCAAGCUUCCUAUGCUAGCGACAAGGCAGACUUGUGAGACUUAGGUCCCCGAUCAUUAAGAAACGGAUUUCUGGGCUGUGUAAAAAGUCUUCAUCAUAGUAGGCUUGAGAAGUCUUUCUGGAAAUCAUUUAUUACCUUCCUUGUAAGUACCCAUGUAAUACACGGACAGAUGCUUUGACAAAAUUUCAAGCAACAAACAUUUAAUCAAUGAGUUUUUUUUUUGUGUACAAUGUUUGCAUAUGUGCAUGUGUGCCAUUUUGUAGCUUUUAGGGGGUGUCCCUCAGAGCUGUCCACUUCGCCUGUUGGAGCAGGGUCUCUCAUUGGCACCUGGUUUCCUUGUAGGCCUAGGGAUGCUUCUAGCACUAGGAGCCUGCUUGUUUUUGUUUUUAAUAAAGGUGUGCAAAUGGAACUCGGGUCUCUGUUCCUGUGUGGCAAACACUUUGUCCACUGAACUCUUUCUCAGCCCCUCAUCACACAUCAAAAACAGAUUCGUGCAUAUUUAUGUGAGUGUGUGAAUGGAUACUGCAGUUGUGCAAAUUCCCGCGGAGGUCUCUGCAAGAACAGCCAGUGCUCUUCACUGCCGAGCCAUCUCUCCAGCUCCAGCCACGGGGUUUUUAAAUAGUGGUUCGUGUGCGCCCCCUCUCUUCUGUCUCUCCUUUAUCACUGCAUGCCCAUCUCUCCAGAUUCACCCCUGUGCGCCCUCCCUCCCUCCUUCCGUCCUUCCCUGCCUCCCUUUUUCCCUCCUUUGCUCUCCCUUCCUUUCUCCCUUCCCCCUACUCCUUUCACUCUCAUUCUCUGACACCUCCAUCCCCACCCCCCGCAUCUCAAUCGCACAACGGAACUUUGAGCCACUCCACCGUCCACCCCGGGAGGAAACUGAUCUGUCCUUACUUCAUCCUCUGAAUCCACCUACUCCCCUCUGUGGCACACACACUACUGAACUUAGAUUUGUUUUUUAUUUCAAGCCACAAAAGCUAGUAGAUUUGACUCCUCUUUUUAGCUAACCAAACAAAAUUUAUGCCAGCAAAAACACGGAUCACUGUUAGGUUAAAAAUUGCAAGAUGAGCGGCUGGAGAGAAGGUUUAGGGUUAAGCACACUGGCUGCUUUUCCAGAGGCCCUAGUGAACCAGGAGAUCUGAUAAACUGUGCCGCUCUGCCGCCCUCUUCUGGCCUUGGUAGGCACUGCAUAUAUGUAUAAGAUCGGACAAACUGGUACACAAACCAUAAAAAUAAAUAUUAAAUAAAAAUAAAAGCACUAAGGACCGAGGAGAUGGUUCAGUCAGGAAACUGGAACAUAAGUGUGAGGACCCAAGUUCAGUCCCCAGAGCCUACGUAAAAAGGUUGGGUGUGGUGUCAUGGCGUUUGAUACUUGAGAGGUGGAGGAGGCAGCAGGAUACCCGGCGCUCCCGGGCCAAUCAGCACAGCCUACUCGUGCUCUCCAAACCAAAGAAAGAACGCCCGUCCAAAAUGAGGUACGUGGUACCUGCGGUUGACCUCAGCCCUAACACGUGCAGUUUCACAUGAAUGUGAGCUCACAUGCACACACGUACACAUACAACAAAACCUCCACGGGGACAGAGGCUCCUCCCGCCAUCCUGUUGGUAAAGCACCUGAUUGUCCCUUACAGGUGAAUCCGGCUUGGAUGAGCCCUAAUUACCAAGAGGGAAACUGCAAGUCCUCAAGGACAGUAACAGGCCUCACUUUAUCACAUCUCGUUGUGUAGCUCAGAGGAGCCUUGAACCUACAACCCCCUUGCCUCAGCCUCCCCCGUAUCUGAGGUCACAGGUGUGCACCCCGCUAAGCCCUUUUUUUCAGCUUCUGGAGUACACGUUUGUCUCCAUAGAAGAGUUCUAACAAAUCAAGUGUAUAUAAACAUAUCAAAACAUGAGAACACGUUCACACCUGUCUACAUUUGUCAUUUGUCAAGACGUUCAUCAGCGUCACAAGAUACUCCUCCUUCACGAACCUCUGUUAGCCCUGUGCAAAAGGACGGGAAGGGGUGGGCCAAAGGACGGGAAGGGGUGGGCCAAAGGAUGGGAAGGGGUGGACCAAAGGACGGGAAGGGGUGGGCCAAAGGACUCUGAUCAGCAGACAAAUUUCUAUUCUUUAUUUAGCCUAUUCAUUCUUCAGGAAGAAUUUAGCCUCUAUUUUUAGUUUUGUUGUUUUCCUAAAGUUUUUUUUUUUAAACUUAUUAUAUAUAAGUACACUGUAGCCGUCUUCAGACACACCAGAAGAGGGCAUUGGAUCCCAUUACAGAUGGUUGUGAGCCAUCAUGUGGUUGCUGAGAUUUGAACUCAGGACCUCUGGAAGAGCAGUCACUGCUCCUAACCACUGAGUCAUCUCUCCAGCCCCAUUUUCUAAAGUUUUUUUAAAAAACAUACUACAUUUAUUUAUAAUUAAUAAAUACAUUUAUUAAUAAUUACAUUCAUUUAUAAUUAUUUUAUUUACAUUUAUGUGUGCAUGUUCAUGUGUGUCUAUGACUGCACAUGGCACAUGUGUGGAGGUCAGAACAGUUUUUGGGAGUCAGUUCUUUCUACUCUCUGGGUUCUGGGGAUUAAAUUCAGAUCUUCAGAAUUCAGCAAGGACCCUUGAUGGUUUAAGCACCAGAAGGUGGGGAUCAUAUUUGUUUGGGAAUGUUCAUCUUGUAUCCUGGAUAGAAUUAUCCCCCACUCCCACAAUAAGGGAUUGUCCUGGCUGGUUUUCUGUCUACUUGACAUAAGCGAGUCAUCAGAGAGGAGGGAGUCUCAAUUGAGAGAGUGCCUCCGUAAAGUUAGGCUGUAGGCAAGCUUGUGGGGCAUUCUCUUAAUUACUGAUUGAUGUAGAUGUGCUUAGCUCAUUUCCUUGUGGGAGGCAAGCAGACCAAGCCAUGUGGAGCAAACAUUGAGCAGCAGCACUCCUCCAUGGUUUCUGCAUCGGCUCCUGUCUCCAGGUUUCUGCCCUGUUUGGAUCCCUGUCCUGACUUCCUUUGAUGGUUAGGAAUGUAAGCCUAACACACCCUUUCCUCUCCAAGUUGCUUAGGUCAAGAUGCUAGCAAUAACAACCCUAACUACAAUGAGUCAAAUGUUUUCCAACUGUAUCCAGAAAGAUACAGAGGACACAUAGACGUUUUUCUUACUGGAGAUCUCUUAAAGCCUCAUGUUCUGCAAUACGCUUUAAAUAAAAAAAUUAACCAACUAUAUUUUAAUCUUUUAAAAUUUCCUUUUUUUUUUUGCAUGUUUUCCGAAGCUUGAGUGUUAACCCAUGUUCUGUGUCUUUGUGGUCUACCACAGAAAACAGAGGGUCACCUUUCCAGCCUCUCUCACAGCUAGGACACAGGCAGUGUGGGAUGCUUUCUAUGGAGCCGGUGAUGGGUUUGAGUAUGGAAGCAUAGGCUCCACCUUAGAUAAGUGAGCAGGUGUUUCCCGGGGGUUCUAGACUACCACUGCAGGGGCUUUUGUGGUGUGUCACCCCAGUGUGGAAGCUUAAUCUAUGAGUGCUGUCUGCAGGGCGAGAGUCUACAGGGGCGACAUUCUCUUGAGCCAUUCUAUGCAAGGUAUUUUAAAAAAGUUUUGAAAAAAAUUGUUCUUCAUAAAGAUUGUCUAGGAAAAACAAAAACCAAAACGUCCACCUUUUCACUCAAAGUAGUUGUUUGUGUUGCCUAUAGCAGGUCUUGUUCCCUAAUUGGUUCUGGACUUGUCAAUAAAGAAGUCCAGGGCCAAUUGCUGGAUGGAAGGUACAGGUGGGACUUCCGGUCCAGGGGGAAAAGGAGCCGCAGGGAAAGAGGAAGAGGGCUUUUCUGCCAUGCUUUCGAGGACAGAGAAUGCUGCAAUCAUGUGAGGUCUCAGGCAGCUAUGGCCUCCGGCCUCUGCUACAGGUGGAUGGCCAAGGAGGUUGGUGGGAGCUAGCUGAUACAAGCCGGAAGUUUAGGACAGGAGGAGAAACGGAGAUAAUAAUCGAUGAGGGCAGGCCUUUCCAGGCAGGAGAUUCCAGUGCCCAGCAAUUGUAUCUAGCCGGCAAGUUCUAAAAUAAUAAAUCUGUGUGUUCUUUA